AUUUCUCUUUCUCUCUAGAUGAUAGCUCCCAUGAAGAUAAGACUCAUACAUAUCUUGUUCACAGUUGUCUCCUCAGUUCUGUUGAUGUGUCUAGCAAAUAGAUGUUCAGUGAAUAUUUAUCAAAGAAUGAAUGAACAGUGCUAAAAGAGAACUUGAAUUAGUGACUUCUGAGUUGCAAAGGAAAAAGAAUGCCAGCACUUCUCAGACUACAAACAUGUAUCCCUCAGGUCAAACACCUGGAGUAAAUCAGCAGGAUUCAGUGACUCCCCAGCCACCUGGUGUUUCUCUCUGAAAGCAGCACUUGAUACCAGCGUGAACGAACUCGCCUCCUUCAGAAGUGCCUUCAGGUGUUUCAGGUGAGAUCUCCUAAAUUUGGACCUCCCGCUCUUUGGUUGAAGGUCUACACUUUAUUCGGGCUGUUUUUCAAACCCUCUCUUUUUUUUUUUUUUUUUUUCAGAAUGAGGGCUUCUUUCUCUGUCUUUGGACAGGAGAUUUGGGUAAAGAGCUCUGCAGGGAACUGCCUUUUUUCCCCCUUUGUCUCACAGCAGAGGUGCAAGUCAUAGUUUUUCUGCCUUUGCCUCAGAACCAGGGGUUUGGGUCAAGUUUUUUUCACCUCCGUCUCACAGCAGAGGUUCAAGUGAAAGAACUGGCAGAUGGUACCAGUGGUUUCAUUUUAGACAGUAUGCUUUUGAGAUAGCAGCUGUCUUCAAUUUCUUGAAAAUUCUGAAUUUGCCUUUAAUUUUGACCAAUUCCUGUUAGUUCCUAACUAAAAAGCAUACCCCUUUUGCUCUUGCAGAUGGGCAUAAUAUGAGGGUCUGGUCCCUUGUACCUUGAGGACUCUGCCAUCUGACAAUUACAGACAAUCCAGUUGUCCUCAUCCUUGAGGACUCUGCUGCCAUCUGACAAUUAGAGACAGUCCAAGACAUGUCACACUUUGAUCCUAAACACAUUUCUGACUUUGGUCACUUUUGAAAAGUUUCUGAAUUAUGUGAAAUCAAUAAUAAGAAUAUUCAAAACCCAAACACUCUUUUUAGAAAUACCAGCUGGAAUUACAUAUACGAUUUAUGGGGUACUCUUGUAGCACCUGGGAAAGUGGACCCCUCUAACCUGGAAUGAUGAUAGGCAACAAUGACCAAAAAUGGGGAUCUUUUGAUAUACCUUAAGUAAUUUAUUUGUGCAUACCAAUGGAAAGAGCUGGUUUUACAACCAGACAUAUAAAUAGGAGACUUACUUCCAGUGGCACCUAAAAAAUCCUGAAAGAAAAAAAUCGCCUUUAUUCCAGAGGUAAACAAGGGGAUAUUUGAAACGAUUUAAAAAGACUUCACAGGCUUUCUGCUUUUCAUCCGCAGAUCCUUCUUUUCCUUCCAGCCCUGUGAUCUGAACUCAUCUCUGCCUCUUCCCUUGACUUCCAUAUAUCUCUUAGGCAGAGAUUUUUUAAAUCUCACAACACACACACUUCCUUCUCUCAGGGGAAAUGAAUUUAAAUUUAGAGCAGAAGGAACAAACAGAACAACAACAUAACGGGAAUAAGACUGCUGAGACUAUAAAAAUGCAGAUCCAACAAAAUUUUUCCUAACCAGGUCUAGUGAAUGACACUGUGAUAUGGUCUGGCUCCAUGUCCCCAACCAAAUGUCAUCUUGAAUCGCAAUCUCCGUGUGUCAGGGGAGAAGCCUGGUAAGAGGUGAUUGGAUCGUAGGGCAGUUUCCUCCAUGCUGUUCUCAUGAUAGUGAGGGAGUUCUCAUGAGAUCUGAUGGUUUAAAGUGUUUGGCAGUUACUUUUCUGGCUUUCUCUCUCCUGCUGUCUUGUGAAGAAGGUGCUGGCUUCCCCUUCCCCUUCCACCGUGAUCGUAAGUUUCCUGAGGCCUCCCCAGCCAUGCGGAACUGUGAGUCAAUUAAACCUCUUUGAUUUAUAAAUUACUCAGUCUCGGUAGUUCUUUAUAGCAGUGUGGGAAUGAACUAAUACACACUGAUUUAUUGAGCCACUAUCAGAAAGUACCCUUUAAAUCUUAUGUCUUUAAAAUGCUAACCUUCAGGGAAUUAGUGAAGCAGCGUUCCAGAUGAGAUCAGAUCUUAAAAAAGUUAAAAUCCUUAAAUGCUUAAACUGCCUGCUUUGAAUUCCCUGCAAGAUUUACCAAAAAAAAAAAAAAAAACACACAAACAAAAAAAAAAUGAAAACAAAUGCAAAACUCUCUACCCUGUGGUAUAAUGGCUAGGGUUUAGUGCUUUCACCACUGUAACCUGGGCUCAAUUCCUGGCCAGGGAGCUAGUCCCUUUUGUUUUAAAUUAUUGUAUGAUUCUUGACCUUUUGGGAUACCGUUUGUUGUUGAGCCUUAUCCCUUCCAUGGACAACUUUUGAUUUCCCGUCUUUAUCCAUUUGUGGGACAUACAGAGCAUUUGGGCCUUCGUGAGUACCCAGCUAAGAAGCUAAGAUCCUGGAAAUCAUGCCAGAUAGCAAUGUGAGUUGUACUUCACUUGUGGAUAGUGAAACUUUCCUUUCUGUGAGCUGUCUUUGGGGUGAUUCUGGCUGUUGUGAGGACUGUGUUGUACCUCCUUUGAAGAUGCCCCAUGCAUCUUUGGUUAAGUCAUAACCUUGAUUGAGGCUCAUUGAUUUUGGUGAGUCAUUUGGAAGGGUACCUUUGUUUUUUUUUUAAAGUUCAAAAACCAGGAAUAAUAGCUAUUUGUGCUGGAUAAUACCUGAUAAUGAGAGAUUUGAAAAGUUUUUGUUUUUUUAAUUUUACUUUAAACUGUGGGAUACAUGUGCACAACGUGCAGGUUUGUUGCAUAAGUAUACAUGUGCCAUGGUGGUAUGCUGCACCUACCAAAUGUCAUCUUGGUUUUAAGCCCCACAUUCAUUAGGUAUUUGUCCUAAUGCUCUCCUUCCCCUUGGCCCCACCCUGACUGCCUCUGGUGUGUGAUAUUCCCCUCCCUGUGUCCAUGUAUUCUCAUUGUUCAACUCCAACUUAUGAAGGAGAACAUGUGGUGUUUGGUUUUCUGUUCCUGUGUUAGUUUGCUCAGAAUGAUGUCUUCCAGAUACAUCCAUGUCCCUGCAAAAGGACAUGAACUCAUCAUUUUUUGUGGCUACAUAGUAAUCCAUGGUGUAUAUGUGCCACAUUUUCAUUAUCCAGUCUACCAUUGAUGGGUAUUUGGGUUGGUUUGAAGUUUUUGCUAUUGUAAAUAGUGCUGCAGCAAACACAUAUGUCACAUGUCUUUAUAUCAGAAUGAUUUAUCACCCUUUCAGUAUAUACCCAGUGAUGAGGUUACUGGGUCAAAUGGUAUCAUCUAUGGUUCUAGAUCCUUGAGGAAUCGCCACACUGUCUUCCACAAUAGCUGAACUAAUGUACACUCCCACCAACAGUGUAAAAGCAUUCCUAUUUCUCCACAGCAUCGCCAGCAUCUGUUGUUUCCUGACUUUUUAAUAAUUGCCUUUCUAACUGGGAUGAGAUAGUAUCUUAUUGUGGUUUUGAUUUGCAUUUCUCUGAUGACCAGUGAUGAUGAGCUUUUUUUCAUAGGUUUGUUGGCCACAUAAAUGUCUUCUUUUAGAAGUGUCUGUUCAUAUCCUUUGCCCACUUUUUUAUGGGGUUGUUUUUUUCUUGUAAAUUUGUUUGUUUCUUGUAGAUUCUGGAUAUUAGAACUUUGACACAUGGGUAGAUUGCAAAAUUUUUUCCCAGUCUGUAGGUUGACUGUUCACUCUCAUGAUAGUUUCUUUUACUGUGCAAAAACUCUUUAGUUUAAUUAGAUCCAAUUUCUCAAUUUUUGCUUUUGUUGCCAUUGCUUUGGUGUUUUAGUCAUGAAUUCUUUGCCCAUGCUUAUGUCCUGAAUGGUAUUGCCUAGGUUUUCUUCUAGGGUUUUUAUGGUUUUGGGUUUUACAUUUAAAUCUUUAAUCUAUCUUGAGUUAAUUUUUAUAUAAGGUGUAAAGAAGGGAUCCAGUUUUCCCAACACCGUUUAUUAAAUAGGGAAUCCUUUCCCCAUUGCUUGUUUUUGUCAGGUUUGUUGAAGAUCAGAUGGUUGUGGAUGUGUAGUGUUCCAUUGGUCUAUAUAUCUGUUUUGGUACCAGUACCAUGCUGUUUUGGUUACUGUAGCCUUGUAGUUUGAAGUCAGGUAGCAUGAUCCCUCCAGAUUUGUUCUUCUUGCUUAGGAUUGUCUUGGCUAUACAGGUUCUUUUUUGUUUCCGUACGAAAUUUAAAGUAGUUUUUUUCUAACUCAGUGAAGAAACUCAAUGAUAGCUUAAUGGGAAUGGCAUUGAAUCUAUAAAUUACUUUGGGCAGUAUGGCCAUUUUCACGAUACUAAUUCUUCUUAUCCAUGAGCAUGGAUUUUUUUCCAUUUAUUUGUGUCCUCUCAUUUCAUUGAGCAAUGGUUUGUAGUUCUCCUUGAAGAGGUCCUUCACAUCCCUUGUAAAUUGUAUUCCUAUGUAUUUUGUUCUUUGUAGCAAUUGUGAAUGGGAGUUCACUAAUGAUUUGGCUCUCUGCUUCUCUAUUAUUGGUGUAUAGGAAUCCUUGUGAUUUUUGCCCAUUGAUUUUAUAUCCUGAGACUUUGCUGAAGUUGCUUAUCAGCUUAAGGAAUUUGGGGGCUGAGAUGAUGGGGUUUUCUAAAUAUACAAUCAUGUCAUCUGGAAACAGAGACAAUUGACUUCCUCUCUUCCCAUUUGAAUACCUUUUAUUUCUUUCUCUUGCCUUAUUGCCCUAGCCAGAACUUCAAAUAAGAUGGUGAGAAUAGGAGUUGAAUAGGAGUGGUGAGAGAGGGCAUCCUUAUUUUGUGCCAGUUUUCAAAGGGAAUGCUUCCAGCUUUUGCCCCUUCAGUAUGAUAUUGGCUACUUGUUUGUCAUAAAUAGCUCUUAUUUUGAGAUAUGUUCCAUCAAUAUUUAGUUUGUUGAGAGUUUUUAGCACGAAGGUGUUGAAUUUCAUCGAAGGCCUUUUCUGCAUCUAUUGAGAUAAUCAUGUUUUGUCAUUGGUUCUGUUUAUGUGAUGGAUUACGUUAUUGAUUUGCAUAUGUUGAACCAGCCUUGCAUCCCAAGGAUGAAGCUAACUUGGUCAUGAUGGAAUGCUUUUUGAUGUGCUGCUGGAUUCAGUAUGCCAGUAUUUUAUUGAGGAUUUUCACAUUGAUGUUCAUCAGGGAUAUUGGCCUGAAUUUUUCUUUUUUUCUUGUGUCUCUGCCAGAUUUUGGUAUCAGGAGGAUGCUGGCCUCAUAAAGUGGUCUGAGAGACUGUUUGAGGAAGGAGUCCCUCUUUUUCUGUUGUUGGUAAUAGUUUCAGAAGGAAUGGUACCAUCUCCUCUUUGUACCUCUGGUAGAAUUCAGCUGUGACUCUGUCUGGUCCUGGGCUUUGUUUGGUUGGUAGGCUAUUAAUUCCUGCCUCCAUUUCAGAACUUGUCAUUGGUCUAUUCAGGGAUUCGACUUCUUCCUGGUGUAGUCUUGGAAGGGUAUAUGUGUCCAGGAAUUUAUCCAUUUCUUCUAGAUUUUCUAGUUUAUUUGUGUAGAGGAGUUUAUAGUAUUCUAUGAUGGUAGUAGUCUAUAUUUCUGUGGGAUCAGUGGUGAUAUCCCCUUUAUCAUUUUUUAUUGUGUCUAUUUGAUUCUUCUCUCUUUUCUUCUUUGUUAGUCUAGCUAGGGGUCUAUCUAUUUUGUUAAUUUUUUCAAAAAACCACCUCCUGGAUUCAUUGAUUUUUUGCAGGCUUUUUUAUGUCUCUGUCUCCUUCAGUUCUGCUCUGAUCUUAGCUAUUUCUUGUCUUGUGCUAGCUUUUGAAUUUGUUUGCUCUUGCUUCUCUAGUUCUUUUAAUUGUGAUGUUAGAGUGUUGAUUUCAGAUCUGUCCAGCUUUCUGAUGUGGGGAUUUCAUGCUAUAAAUUUCCCUCUUAACACUGCUUAUCUGUGCCCUAGAGAUUCUGGGAUGUUGUCUCUUUCAUCUCAUUGGUUUCAAAGAACUUCUUUAUUUUUGCCUUAAUUUCAUUGUUUAUCCAAGAGUCAUUAAGGAGCAAGUUGUUCACUUUCCAUGUAGUUGUGCAGUUUUGAGUGAGUUUCUUAACCCUGAGGUCUAAUUUAAUUGCACUGUGGUCUGAGAGACUGUUUGUUAUGAUUUCCAUUCUUUUGCAUUUGCUGAGGAGUGUUUGCUUUCCAAUUAUGUGGUCAGUUUUAGAAUAAGUGCCAUGCUGUGCUGAGAAGAAUGUAUAUUCUGUUGAUCUGGGGUGGAGAGUUCUGUAGAUGUCUGUUAGGUCCACUUGAUCCACAGCUGAGUUCAAGUCCUGAAUAUCCUUGUUAAUUUUCUCUCAUGUUGAUCUGUCUAAUAUUGAUAGUGAGGUGUUAAAGUCUGCUACUAUUUUUGUGUAGGAGUCUAAGACUCUUAGUUGGUCUCUAAGAACUUGUUGUAUGAAUCUGGGGGCUCCUGUAUUGGGUGCAUAUAUAUUUAGGAUAGUUCCUGUUGCACUGAGCCCUUUACCCUUCUUUGGCAUUCUGUAAUGCAUUCUUUGCGUUUUUUUGAACUUCGUGGAUUUAAAGUCUGUUUUGUCAGAUACUAGGAUUGCAAUCCCUACUUUUUUUUUUUUUUCUUUCCAUUUGCUUGGUAAAUAUUCCUCCAUCCCUUUAUUUUGAGCCUAUUUUUGUCUUUGCACAUGAGAUGGGUCUCCUAAAUAUAGCAUACCAAUGGGUCUUGACUCUUUAUUCCAUUUUCCAGUCUGUGUCUUUUGAUUGGGGCAUUCAGCCCAUUUACAUUUAAGGUUAAUAUUAUUAUGUGUGAAUUUGAUCCUUUCAUCAUGAUGCUAGCUGGUUAUUUUGCACAUUAGUUGAUGCGUUUUCUUCAUAGUGUCACUGAUCUUUUUGGCAUGUUUUUGGUCUAUUUUGGUGUGUGUUUGCAGUGGCUGGUGCUGGUUUUUCCUUUCCAUAUUUAGUGCUUCGUUCAGGAGCUCUUGUAAGGCAGGCCUGGUGAUGACAAAAUCCCUCAGUAUUUGCUUUUCUGGAAAGGAUUUUAUUUAUUCUUUGUAUAUGAAGCUUAGUUUGGCUGGGUAUGAAAUUCUGGGUUGAAAACUAUUUUCUUUAAGAAUGUUGAAUAUUGGCCCCCUCUCUCUUUUGGCUUGUAGGGUUUCUGUAGAGAUAUCCACUGUUAGUCUGAUGGGCUUCCCUUUGUAGGUGAACUGACCUUUCUCUCUGGCUGCCAUUAACAUUUUUUCCUUUGUUUCAACCUUGGAGAAUCUGAUGAUUAUGUGUCUUAAGCUGAUCUUCUCAAGGAAUAUCUUAGUGGAGUUCUCUGUAUUUUCUGAAUUUAAAUGUUGGCCUCUCUUACUAGGUUGGGAAAGUUCUCCUGAAUAAUACCCUGAAGUAUGUUUUCCAACUUGGUUCCAUUCUCCACAUCACUUUCAGGUACACCAGUCGAUCAUAGCUUUGGUCUUUUCACAUAGUCCCAUAUUUCUUGGAGGCUCUGCUCCUUCCUUUUCAUUCUUUUUUCUCUAAUAUUGUCUUUACACCCUAUUUUAGCAAGCUGAUCCUCAAUCUGUGAUAUCCUUUCUUCUGCUUGAUCGAUUUGGCAAUUGAUACUUGUGUAUGCUCCAUGAAGUUCUCGUGCUAUAUUUUUUAGCUCCAUCAGAUCAUUUAUGUUCCUCUCUAAACUGGUUAUUCCAGUUAGCAGUUCAUGUAGUUCUUAGCUUCCUUUCAUUGGGUUAGAACAUGCUCCUUUAGAUCAGAGGAGUUUGUUAUUACCCACCUUCUGAAGCCUACUUCUAUCAGUUUGUUAAUCUCAUUCUCUGCCCAGUUUUGUUCCCUUGGUGGAGAGGAGUUGGGAUCAUUUUGAGGAGAAGAGGCAUUCUGGUUUUUGGAAUUUUCAGUGUUUUUGUGCCGGUUUUUCCUCAUCUUCAUGGAUUUAUCUACCUUUGUUCUUUGAGGCUGAUGAACUUUGGAUGGGUAUUUUGCGUGGGAGUCUUUUUUGUUGAUGUUAUUGUUGUUGCUUUCUGUUUGUUAGUUUUUCUUCGAAUAGCCAGGACCCCCUUCUGCGAGUCUGCUGCAGUUUGCUGGAGGUCCACUCUAGACCCUAUAUCAUCCGUAGAUGCUGCGGAACAGCAAAGGUUGGUGGAUGCUGCAGAACAGCAAAGGUUGGUGGAUGCUGCAGAACAGCAAAGGUUGGUGGAUGCUGCAGAACAGCAAAGGUUGGUGGAUGCUGCAGAACAGCAAAGGUUGGUGGAUGCUGCAGAACAGCAAAGGUUGGUGGAUGCUGCAGAACAGCAAAGGUUGCUGUCUGCCCCUUCCUCUGGAAGCUUCAUCCCAGAAGGGCACUGGCCUGAUGUCAGCUGGAGUUCUCCUGAAUGAGGUAUCUGUGGACCCCUGUUGGGAGGUUCUCCCAGUCAGGAGGCAUGGGGGUCAGAGACCCACUUGAGAAGGCAGUUCAUCCCUUAGCAGAGCUGUUAUGCUGUACUGGAAUACCCCUUGUCAGAAUUAGCUGCUCUCUUCAGAGCCAGCAGGCAGGAACGAUUAAGUCCGCUGAAGUUGUACCCACAGCCACCCCUCCCCACAGUGCUCUGUCUCAGGGAGAUGAGAGUUUUAUUUGUAAGCCCCUGACUGGGACUGUUACCUUUCCUCCAGAAAUGUCCUGCCCAGUGAGGAAGAAUCUUGAGAAGCAAUCUGGCCACUGCCACUUUGCCAUGCUGUGGUGAAUUCUGCCCAGUGCAAACCUCACAGUCGCCUUUGCACUGUUAGGGGAAAACUGCUUACUAAAGCCUCAGUAAUAGCAGAUGCCCCUCUCCCCACCAAGCUCGAUUGUCCCAGGUUGCUCCAGACUGCUAUGCUAGCAGUGAGAAUUUCAAGCCAGUGGUUCUUAGCUUGCUGCGCUCCGCUCCAUAGGAGUGGGACCUGCUGAGCAAGACCACUUGGCACCCUGGCUUCAGCCCCCUUUCUAGGGGAGUGAACGGUUCCAUCUCACUGGACUUCCAGGUGCCACUGGGGUAUGAGAAAAACUCCUGCAGCUAGCCUGGUGCUUGGUGCCUAAUUAAAUGGCCUCCCAGGUUUGUGCUUGGAACCCCUGGCCCUGGUGGUAUAGGCUCACGAUGAAUUCCCUGGAUCUGCGGAUUGCAAAAACCAUGGGAAAAGCAUAGCACCCAGGCUAGGUAGCACAGUUCCUCACAGCUUCCCUUGGCUGGGGGAGGGAAGUCCCCCAGCUUCUUGCACUUCAUGGGUGAAACAAUGCCCCACCCUGCUUCUGCUCAGUCUCCGUGGGUUACACUUACUGUCUAACUAGUCCCAAUGAGAUGAACUGGAUACCUCAGAUGGAAAUGUAGAAAUCACCCACCUCCUGCAUUGGUCUUGUUGGGAGCUGCAGACUGGAGCUGCUUCUGUUUGGCCACCUUGGCCCCUCCUUGAAAAGUUUUUCUUAGAGCUCCAUAGUCAAAAGUCAGCUUCAUAGGAACAGAUUCACCCAGGCAUGGUGGUUCAUGCCUGUAAUCCCAGCACUUUGGGAGGCCACGGUGGGAAGAUUGCUUGAGUCCAAGAGUUUGAGACCAGCCUGGGCAAUGUAAUGAGACCCUGUCUCUACAAAAAGUAAGAACAAAACUUAGCUGGGCACAGUGGCGCAUGCCUGUAGUCUCAGCUGCUUGGGAAGCUGAGGUGGGAGGAUCAUUUAAGCCCAGAAUGUGUCAAGGCUAUGUGAAUUGUAAUCAUGCCACUGCACUCCAGUUUCUGUGACAGAAUAAGACCCUGUUUCUAUUUAUUUAUUUAUUUUCAGUAUGAAAGAACAGAGAGACCCUCUCUCUAAAAACAAACAUAAAUGAGAUUCAAGCUCCUCUCUCCUCUCUGCUGUCUUCAGUACCAUAUGAAAGGACCUAGCGGAGACUUCUAUUGACUCAGACUUCUUAAGGAAGACAGAAAAAGAUGCCUCUCACUGCCUUCCUAGGGGCUUCUGUCUUCCUGUGGGGUCUAAAGAAUGAUGGAGAGAUUCCAUGACAGUUUCCAGCACAAAACUCUGCUUUCUUUUAUGUUGUGUCACCUGAUCCCUUUGGCUUUUAGGAGUACCAGAUAUUACUUUCUUCUGUGAGAGAGUACCUACCUUUGUGUGUAUGAUGGCUAGCAAGUUACUGGUGAGUACUACAGUACUGGAGGUGGCUGACAGCAGUUGUUCUACAGUGAAUGAUUAUUAUUAUUACUACAGGGUGUUACUGGUUUCUUUUGCUCAUUAAAAUAAGAAAGGCACUGUUUAAACACUGAAAAUGUUUUUGCAGUGAACUAUACCAUGAAACUGUUGCAUGGCUCAGUCCCAUGGUGUUUCCCUCUUUUGGGGGACUCAGGAUUCAGUCUAAGAAUGGAAUUCUUAAUUUUUGAAGAACUAGAUGCUCUGCCUUACAAUUGCAGCUGCUUUUCACAUAUUUAAAUAAUUAGGGUCAAAAAACUAUAAAUGCUUUGUUUGCCCUGUUCCUUAAUGGGCUCUGCCCUGAACCCAGUGAUCCAACUGGAAAACAGACUAAAUUAAAAGCUACUUAUCUAAGUGAAAGUGGUCUCCUUAUAAAAUCCAAUGAUAGAUUCCUGUGAUUUUGGGUUACCUUGGCAUCCAUUUUUAAUUUUCCUCCAACACACCCAAACUCCUCCUUGAAAAGGAUUAAAUUCUUUCUCUUUGUGCUUUGAGAUAUAAAUUUACUACUGCAUUUUCUCUAAAACUCAAUACAGGUUUCAGCCAUUUGGAUCAGAUAAACCUUAAACUUUUCCAUUUGUAAAGGUACAGUUUGAAUCCAACUGUCCUUUUAAACUAGUGAGAUUUACCAGUCUCAUGACUAAAAUUUUUUCUCUGUUUUUUUUUUUUUAACCUCAGUUCACCAGCAGUUUCAUUGUGACUAAAAUUUUUAAAUUAAAGCUAUAAAGUCUUUAUCUGUGUCUAUCUGAAUUAUGUGUACAUGUAUACAUGUCUGUUUAUAUAUUGUCUACGUGGUACCACUGAGUUAUAGAAAAAGUGCUCAUAAAUUAAAUAAUCAACCCAAAUGCCUUUCACAGUCACUUGACUUUAGUAAUCUUGAGUUUAAAUUAAGAUCGUUUUAAAAUUAUUGGUAAAGUAAAAUAGAAACGUCUUCAAAUUUUAAUUUAAACAUGCUUGCCUAGGUCUGUUGGUCAGACGGGUUUAUACUGUCUCUGCUACAUGUUUUAAGGUCAUAAGGGCAUUGCUUUUAUGGUUUUUUUUUUUUUAUAUAUAUUUGUUUAAUUUGUUUGUGAGCUUAUGUCUUUGGAUUUGAGCCUUUAGAUUCUGAGAACUAGACAAAUGGCCCUGGGGACAGUGCCUGGGCCCCAUCAUCCCUAGUUGAGCUGUGCCUCUUGGCUAUAUGGCAAGGAGUCGGAUCCUCCAAGCAUUGUCUCCAUAGCACUGCCCUUUGUCCUGAGCCCUGCCUGUGGUACACAAUUAAAGUUGCUUACUUUUUAGGUUUUUAACUGAAAAUUAGGUUUACUAAGAGUUAACUAUAUGGUUAAUAUAUGUAACUAAAACUACUAGGCCAGAAACAAUUUCAUAUAGAGAACAUAUAAAGGAAGAAGUAAAGAGAGUUGAAAAGGAGAAUUAUUUUCUUUUACAUAAGAGAGGACUUUGGUCAAAAUGAUAAGUGGGAAAGUAAAUCUUUGUCCUAAGUAGAAUGCUAAUAUAAAAAAUGAAAUAUAGGACAAAACUGAAUGUGUAAGCAAGUUGUAGAAGGUUUGUAGAAGAUUAAUCUCAUAAAAAGAAUUUUGUCUUUGAUAAAGUUGGCUAAAAUUAGAAAGAGAUUAUUAAGUUUUUCUAAAACUCGAGCAUUAAUAUUUAAAGCACAUCGAUGCAGGACCCCUGUUUCAGAGUAACAAGGUUUUCUGGCAGCAUUAAUCUGCUCUUUAAUUGAAAACAAUUUUAAGGUUAUUGAAAUCUUAUGCAGUUAAAACUGAGGACCAGAUGCAGUGGCUCAUGCCUGUAAUCCCAGCACUUUGGGAGAGUGAGGUGGGUGGAUCACUUGAGGUGAGGAGUUUGAGACCAGCCUGGCCAAGAUGGUGAAACCCCAUCUCUACUGAAAAAAACAUAAAUUAGCUGAGCAUGGUGAUCAGUGCCUGUAAUCCCAGCUACUCAGGAGGCUAAGGCAGAAGUGCUUAAACCCAGGAGGCAGAGGUUGCAGUGAGCCAAGAUCAUGUCAUUGUACUCCAGCCUGGGUUACAAGAGGGAAACUGCAUCUCAAAAGAAAAUGAGAUUGAAUAGAUUUGUUUAUAAUGAUUUAAUGGAAUUUGCUUUAGGAUUAAUAAUAUGCUGAUGCAAAAGCAAAAUUUGGUUUUCUCUUUUGAACAAGAUUUUUUUUCAAAGAUUAAUAGAUAUAUAAUCUUAAAUUUCUCAAGUAAAACACAUAGAAUUUUUUCACAUAUCCAACAGAAUGUUAUAAAAAUUGUCUAUGUACUUGAUCACAAAGAAAGUCUUAGCAAUAUAGAAAUGAGAGAUUUUUGUAGCCACAUUCAAUAAAGCUAGAAAUAAAUAAUUGAAAAGUGAUCAGAAUAGCCUGUUUAUAAAUUGAGGAGUCCUUCGUGGAUGCUCUUUGGAGCAAAGAGCAAUAUAAACCUAAUAGUAAAAAACUACAUUGAAAAGAAUGCUUUAUAUUAACAUCUGUAUAUUACAGCCUUACAUACUGUUAUCACUAAAGAAUGAUUAAAAAUAAAAGUACUAGUUGCUUUUCUACGGAACAAGUUCUAUGGGAGGAACAAAAUAAUGCCAAAGAAAAUAAAGAUGGAAUUAAUUAAUAUAAACAGAACUGGGACUACGGAGAGGCAAGCAUGGUACCUACGGCACAUAAUUUAAGAAACUAAGGUUGUGCAAGUGCCAGCCCUGGCACCCAGGCACCCCACUCCUUAGGAAGCACCCUAUCUCACAGACAUGUUAAGGGAGCGGCUGGCACUUGUACAGUAUCGCUUCCUUGAAUUUUGCGACCUAUGUGCCUUGCUUCUCUCACCCUAGUUCUGGCUGACUAGAAUAGGAAAAGCUUCCCUUCUGGGGAGGAAAGACCAUUUUCUUCUUUCUCUUCUCCCUCCUCUUCCUGCUCCUCCUUCUUCUUUCUUCACCUUACCCUUCUCCUUCUUUCUUCUUCCCUCAUUCCUUCCUCUUUUUUCUCUUCCUCCUCCUCUUUUUUAAUUAAUAAAACUCAUAAUAACCCAGAUGUAAUUUAUACUUAUUAUUGUGAUCUUUGAAUUUUACUACUGCCUUAUCCCAGCCUAGAAGACAGUGGAGCCAUAAGUGGUCUUAUAGAAAUAACUUACUGAUACCCACUAAAUGUUUGAUUUUAGAAACUUAUUUUUUUAAAAAUGCAUUAGCCCUCUUACCUUGUUUUAUAUUCCUAAAUCAAUGGUCCUAUUUUAUGGGCCUACACAUGUCAUUGUAUGUCAUUACUGAAAAAUACAAAUACUAAUAAGACUAUCUGUACGUCUUUUUUUUUUUUUUGAGGUGGAGUUUCACUCUGGUUGCCCAGGCUGGAGUGCAAUGGCACGAUCUCAACUCACUGCAACCUCUGUCUCCCAGGUUGAACAAGAUUUUUAAGUAUUUUUAAGAGACAAAAAAAAGGUCGCCUUUUGAGUAAAAAUAAAUAAAUGGGAAGGAGAGAUUCUGUUGGUUUCAUGCUAUCUUUAUUAGGUUUUUUGGAUUGUUUGGAAAACUGAGUUUACUCUCUAUUAAAGAGUAAAAUGUUUUGCUUUUUGAAAUCUUUGAAUUAUCACUUUGGCUAGAUAAAUGACUACUGUUUUACAGUGACCUAUGAUCCUCUUUGAUCAAAUGUUUUAAACUUUCAGUAUUUAACAUAUUUCCUAAAAUCAAAUUUCAAUUUCUAAAAUUAAGUCUUUUCCAAAAGGAACCCCUGGAAGUCCAAGAGAGGAAUAUUAGGCAUAUUUAGAAAGUUAAAGUCAUCUGGAAAGCAUUGUCCAAGAAAAAUGGUGUUUAACUUUGAGUUUUAUUAGGAUGAAUGUGUUAUUAAUAUGUGUUCCAAAUUGUAUGAGAUUCCUAAAAUUCUAAUGUGUCUUGGUAUAUUUUAAUCAGUCAUAAUUAUGAUUAUUAUGUUAAACUACUGUAAACUACAGGAAUAACCAAAUUUCCUUGUCAAUUGCAUCUUUAACCAUGGCUAUUCUAAGUCUUUUGCUGUCUAAAACAAUUAUUGUUUUAUUUCUAUUCUUUUCAUAAAGCAGUUUACAAUUGGCUAUAAUUCAAAAUUUGCUUUUUCUUCAAGGAAAUUCAUGGAAAAGGACCCUAACAAGUACUCUAGAAUAUAGGUUUCUGAUAACUUUGGAGAUCAUAUCAUUGAACUAAGUAACAACUUUCAAGUAUGCAAUAAACUGAUGUGUUCCUUAGAUUGCUAACUCAACAUCAAGCAGAACAAGAAUUAAUUACAAGUGACUGAGCUGACAGAAGAUUGAAAUGAUUUUUAUGUCAUUUUGUUUGAAACAUUGCUGGUUUUCUUUUUAUUUUGUCUUCCAGAGUCAAGAAAACUUGUUUUCCUUUGAGCUAUUUAUUUAUACUGUAUAGCAAUUGGGUAAAAAUACCUUUGUGAGCAAAAUUGAAACAUUUGCCUUUCUCUCUACCUGAUUGCUCCAAAAUUUGGAAACCAUUCAUGAGUAUUCUUAUUUUAUGGCAAUCUAGUUAUUUGCAUACAUUUAAUAAGAAUCUUUUCUCUGUAACAAGAUACAAUUAGAGACACUGGUUAUUUUACCAAGGCUUUGACUGGAAUGACAUAUUUUCAGAUAUGACCAGACUGCUUUGAAGAAUGAGGUCUACUUUAUAGAGGCAAUUAAAAAGCCCCUUGGAAAGACUGGCUUGGUCCUUUCUCUACAUAAUUCCCUUUCAAGAUUUCUGCCCUUGUGGUGCAUGCAUCACCCCAGGAUUCAGAAGUCCAGCAUCACCCCAGGAUUCAGAAGUCCAGGAGAUGGAAUCUCUGAUACAUUUCUAAAACAAAUGGUUCUAACUCAAGCUUACGUCUGCUCUCUCAUGGUUCCGGUAUUAACUCAAUACAAUUUUGUCACUGUUGUUCGAGAUUAUUUCUUUAAGCAUAACAUUGCCAAAAGGAACAAAUGGAAAGCAAACAAUACCAGUGUUCUGUUUGUUGAGUAAGGGAAUAUCCCUUAUAUUUUCCUGGAGAAAGUAAUUUCAGUUCUGCGCCAAUAGGCCCUUUGCCUAAGACACAGGUGAACAUCGAGGUUGGCUUCAGGUAUGAAGCUAAGGUCUGUCUUCUCCCAGGAGGUGGCAGCAGCAGCAGCUGCAGCCUCCGCCUGCUGCAGAAAUCAGACAGAAUUCACCCGUUUUCCUACUGGCAUCCAAACCUAGAAAUUCCUGGUUCCAAAGACCACUUUAUCCCUUCCUUGGUUUGUUGAGCUUAGUUGGAGCUGGGGCAUUGGGAGUUCAAGAGCUGGCAAUAAUUCCUCUUUAUAAGUGCUUAGUUUUUUUUGUAAACACUUUGGUCUGGGCUGCGACCUUGAAGCAUGUAUGAAGGAGGUUCAGGAAGUCUCUGGCCAGGGAAAAAGAGCUUCAGAAAGAAACUGUAGCUGAAACACAUCCACACAAGCAUAAAUCCAGAGACCCCAGUGCACAGUUUGGUACCGCAAAAAUGAUACAGAUUGUAGACCUGGCCUCUCAGCUACCAGCCAGCUGACCUUCUCAUUGAACCUAUCAGAACCGUAAUUGAAAAAUCCCCAUCCACCCAGUGUGGACUAGGUGAUCUUGAAGCACCUGCUCAUUCUUAAAUUAUAAGCUACUGGACUUGUAUUUUCUGGACUAACGGCUGGGCCUUCACCCUUUCAGAAUUUCAAAAAAUCUCAGACACAACAAAGCACUACUGGUUCCAAGUUAAUCCCGGAUGAGCACAUAUCCUGGUUUGGCAAACACUGCCAGCUGCAUAGAAGGCGGGCAGGCGUCCCAGGAAAUGUCUGAACACCACUCAGCUAUGGAUGAACUGUCAACUGCUGGGGGUUGCUUUGCAAAUUACCACAUCUAAACGAAGCUGACAAAAUGAUAUUUCGGAAAAGCAAUUAACACUGAUGCCUAGUGUGUUUGGAAGCAAAAGGCCUUUUGGGAAGAAUGAAAUUGGCUCAGAGAAGAGUACCCCAGCCCUCCAGGUAGAAAUGUUAAGUCAGGAUAUCCCACACACUCCCAUCACCACCAGUCAGAUAGUCAGCCUGGUCUUUGUGAACGAGAUGGAACUAGUUCCUUUCACUUUCCCCCUGCUUCCACUUGGAUGGGUUAAGCUUUCAUCUAUUUAUUCAGUGAACAUUUAUUGGGCACCUCCCAUGGGUCAGUGGCUGGGUGUACACCUGUUUAUUGAGGAGUUCACAAUGGAGUAGUCAGAUGCUAAAUGAAUUAAUAUACAUGGAGCAUUCAGAAAGGGUUGGAAUGUAAAAUAUAAUAGAGGUGAUAGAAAUAGUUACUAUCUCCAUAAAGCCACAGGCCAAACACCAUACUUCAUAAUGAAAACUAUCCCUACAAUAUAGCGCAAUCAUCUAGAAAGAAUCCCAUACUCCUGUAAGUAUUGGCCCCUGUGGAAUUGUCAAUUGAACUUUGCCUAUUUUACACGAAAGCUGUCAUAUUAGAAUCCCUUCCUAGAUUGGGAGUUUUGACUCCAGAAGGCCACGCUAAAUAGAAAUAUUGUACAUGUUGCCUGGCAUCAAAGGAUGGGGCUGGUGGGACAGCUUCUGUCUCUCCCUCUUCCCCUUGAAAAUACCAGCACAAGUGAUGGGCAGGUUAAAUAAAUUUCAAUGUAACUGCAACAGAGAGAACUGAGGAAUGACAGAGGUAGGAGAGUCUGGUGAUAGAUAGCUUCAUUCCUGAAAAGAACCAUAUUCUGUUUGGAGAGCAGAUCAGAGGGCAAGAAAACAUAGGGCUGUCCUGUGUGACACGGAAUGAGCUGAGCCAUAGACCAUAACAAACAAGCAGAAAAGAAGCAAAUCAUAUCUCCUAAUUUCCUGGGCUGACUUCAGAGUAGUCUGAAAAGGACAAUUGAACUUUCCCUUAAAAGAGACACUAGAUGCCCUCAUAAUGUUGAAAUCAAGUCCAAUAUUUCGCAAAUGUAAUUUUUUAAUAGAGACCCUCCUUAUGUUGAUUUUUUUUUCUUCCUGUAGAGUUCCAAAUAAACCUCAAGAGGAUCUCUUUCUUCCCACAACUCCACGGGCAAUUCACAGCUAUGCCAGUUACUACAUGUAUAGCACAAAGGUUGAGAAUCUCUGGCCUUUGGCUGAAUUUUAUCCAACUGAAUAUUCAGUCACUGAUGUCAUAGCCCAACAAAUAAUUCACAUUAUAAUGGGAUCCUCUAGUGAAUAUAUUUAGAGGGAAGCCUCUGAGCAGCAGUUCUCUCCCUUGGCUUCACAUGGGGAACUUUUAAAAAUCCUCGACUCACAUCCCAAACCGAUUACAUAUUCAGAGCGGGGCCUAAGCAUCA